ACUUUUUAGGUGGUGGAGGUGAGGCGUAGUGGUAUGGAGGAGGAGGGGAUUUCUUUGGAGGAGGUGGAGAUGUGUAUUGGUAUGGAGGUGGUGGUGACGGGGAUGGUGGAGGUGGAGACUUAUAAUAGUAAGGUGGAGGAGGGGAAUUCUUUGGAGGAGGUGGAGAUGUGUAUUGGUAUGGAGGUGGUGGUGACGGGGAUGGUGGAGGAGGAGACUUGUAAGAGUACGGUGGAGGGGGAGACUUUUUAGGUGGUGGAGGUGAGGUGUAGUGGUAUGGAGGAGGAGGGGAUUUCUUUGGAGGAGGUGGAGAUGUGUAUUGGUAUGGAGGUGGUGGUGGUGACGGGGAUGGUGGAGGUGGAGACUUGUAAUAGUACGGUGGAGGGGGAGACUUUUUAGGUGGUGGAGGUGAGGUGUAGUGGUAUGGAGGAGGAGGGGAUUUCUUUGGAGGAGGUGGAGAUGUGUAUUGGUAUGGAGGUGGUGGUGACGGGGAUGGUGGAGGAGGAGACUUGUAAUAGUACAGUGGAGGGGGAGACUUUUUAGGUGGUGGAGGUGAGGCGUAGUGGUAUGGAGGAGGAGGAGAUUUCUUUGGAGGAGGUGGAGAUGUGUAGUGGUAUGGAGGUGGUGGUGAUGAAGAUGGUGGAGGAGGAGACCUGUAAUUAUAGUAUGAUGGAUGAGGGGAUUUCUUUGGUGGGGGAGGUGAAGUGUGGUGGUAUGGAGGAGAGGGAUAUUUCUUUGGAGGAGGUGGAGAUGUGUAGUGGUAUGAAG